rnacentral:rRNA from 1 species
UUCGGCCCUAGUGGCGCACGGGUGAGUAACACGUGGGAACCUGCCUUUCGGUUCGGGAUAACGUCUGGAAACGGACGCUAACACCGGAUACGUCCCCCAGAGAGAUUUGGGCGGAGAAAGUUUACGCCGAGAGAGGGGCCCGCGUCCGAUUAGGUAGUUGGUGGGGUAAUGGCCCACCAAGCCGACGAUCGGUAGCUGGUCUGAGAGGAUGAUCAGCCACACUGGGACUGAGACACGGCCCAGACUCCUACGGGAGGCAGCAGUGGGGAAUAUUGGACAAUGGGGGCAACCCUGAUCCAGCAAUGCCGCGUGAGUGAUGAAGGCCUUAGGGUUGUAAAGCUCUUUCGCACGCGACGAUGAUGACGGUAGCGUGAGAAGAAGCCCCGGCUAACUUCGUGCCAGCAGCCGCGGUAAUACGAAGGGGGCGAGCGUUGUUCGGAAUUACUGGGCGUAAAGGGCGCGUAGGCGGCCUGUUUAGUCAGAAGUGAAAGCCCCGGGCUUAACCUGGGAACGGCUUUUGAUACUGGCAGGCUUGAGUUCCGGAGAGGAUGGUGGAAUUCCCAGUGUAGAGGUGAAAUUCGUAGAUAUUGGGAAGAACACCGGUG